UCCGUAUAUCGAUCAAUUAUACGGUUCAUGAAACGACCGUCCCUAACCAACUGAUCAUGCUCCAGUGGUUGUCCAUUUGCUCCCAUGAGCCUUUCAUAAAUUCUUGCCAAGGCCGUGUUCAUGGGAUUCGGUUCGAACACGUCUGGAGCAUCAUAAUCAUACUCAUCCUCCACAAUUAUGUUAUGGAGGAUGAUGUACGUCAUCAUAAUGCUCCUCAGCACCUUCUUAUCAAACAUACGCG
rnacentral:lncRNA from 1 species